rnacentral:tRNA from 1 species
GCCGCGAUCGCUUAGUUGGUUAAAGCAAGGGUCUCAUAAUCCCUAGCCCAGAGUUCGAGUCUCUGUCAUGGCA